UACGUAGGGGGCGAGCGUUGUCCGGAGUUACUGGGCGUAAAGCGCUUGUAGGCGGUCCACCAAGUUUGGGGUGACAGUUGCCGACUUAAUCGGCAAAGUGCCUCAAAGACUGGCGGACUUGAGGGCCACAGAGGGACAUGGAAUUCCAGGUGUAGUGGUGAAAUGCGUAGAUAUCUGGAAGAACACCAAAGGCGAAGGCAGUGUCCUGGGUGGUCGCUGACGCUGAGAGGCGAAAGCGUGGGGAGCGAACAGG
rnacentral:rRNA from 1 species